GCAUACCUUGCCACAGCUGAUAGAGGGUCACAGUGACUGUGUCUGUAUAAAAUGUUUUUCUAAAACUUAAAGGAUUUCGCAGUUUCUGGACAAUAUAAUAAACUAUUACCGUGGCUUUGCAUUUAGUGUAUGACUGUCUAUCGUAUCGUAACUUGGACAUAUAGAUUAUUUAUAUUCUAGACUAGAAGUUCUGUUUAUCAUAAGUGUUAUUUGGAUGUGAUGCGUCUAGAGACAAGGUUCUGAGAGAUUUUAUGAAUUCGUGAAGAAACAGAGAGGAUCAUAUCUUUAAUGCACCUUUUGUUUUUGUACAGUAAGCGUAAAUAGAUAAACUACACUAGAGCACCAUGUCCGAAUCCAAAAGGGUCGUGCUUGCGUACAGUGGAGGGUUGGAUACGUCCUGCAUUCUCGUCUGGCUCAUAGAACAGGGAUAUGACGUCAUCGCAUUCUGCGUAAGUAGUUUAUUUUCAUAGAAGAGGCUGAAGGCUGAAUUGAUACUAAUAAAACAUGAAAAAAUGUAUCAAGUCUUGAAUGUUUACGAUAAAUUUUCUCACAGGCUAACAUUGGACAGGAUGAUGAUUUCGAUGCUGCAAAAGAAAAGGCAUUAAAACUCGGCGCCAAGAAGAUGAUAAUUCCUGAUGUGAAAUCUGAAUUCGUGGAGGAAUUCAUCUGGCCUGGCAUACAGGCUAACGCAGCCUACGAGGAUAGGUAUCUACUGGGCACCGCCCUGGCAAGACCGUGCAUUGCGAGGGCCAUGAUCAAGGUUGCGGUGGGGGAGAAGGCGCAGUUUGUAGCCCACGGUGCCACGGGCAAGGGCAAUGACCAGAUCCGGUUUGAAUUGGGGGCUUAUGCUUUGCACCCAACUAUCAAGGUAAUUUCACCAUGGAGGCUGCCCGAGUUUUACAAUCGUUUCCAAGGUCGCGCUGAUUUAUUCAAAUAUGCACAGGAGCAUGGAAUUGAUUUACCUGUGACCCCCAAAGCUCCAUGGAGUAUGGACGCCAACUUGAUGCACAUAAGUUACGAGUCGGGGGUACUGGAGGACCCGGCGACACACGCCCCUCCCGGGAUCUACCAGAUGACUGUGGACCCAGAACAAGCUCCCGAGCAAGCUGAGAAAAUUGUCAUUUCAUUCAAAAGUGGUUUGCCUGUUAGUGUUAAGAAUCUGGGGGACAACACCACAAAGACUGACCCCCUGGGAAUUUUCUCUUACAUGAAUGAACUAGGAGGAAAGCAUGCCAUAGGGCGAAUUGAUAUUGUAGAAAACCGAUUUAUUGGAAUGAAAUCGAGAGGUUUAUACGAGACCCCCGGGGGAACCAUCCUUUUGGCGGCCCAUGUCGACAUUGAACUCUUCACACUCGACAAGGAAGUACGGAAGAUAAAACGAAAUUUGGAUAUCACCUUUUCAGAACAAGUUUACAAAGGGUUUUGGUUUAGUCCUGAGUGCGAGUUUACACGCUCCUGUAUCCAGAAGAGCCAGGACCACGUGACUGGUAGCGUCACUGUCAAGCUAUAUAAAGGAGGAGUGUACAUCUUGGGGCGAGAGUCGCCGCUGUCGUUGUACAAUGCAGAGCUCGUCAGCAUGGAUGUACAAGGUGACUAUGAGCCAACAGAUGCAGGAGGAUUCAUUAAGAUAAACGCACUCAGGCUUCAGGAAUAUUGUCGACUUCGACAGAAUUCGGCCUCAGGGAAGUAGCAAGUGAAAAUUGCCUAAGAAUAAUUUGUUGUGAAAAUGUGAUUUUAUUCAUUCUUGUGUAUAUGCGCGCGCGUGUGUGUGGUUAUCAUACCAGUAAUUUGUUUAUAUAUAUACAUGUACAAUAACUAAUACUUCUAUCAAAUUCAAAUUUUGUGUCAAUUAUGAUCAAAUAAAGGUUUUUUCCCUG
rnacentral:misc_RNA from 1 species